UUGGAGGGCAAGUCUGGUGCCAGCAGCCGCGGUAAUUCCAGCUCCAAUAGCGUAUAUUAAAGUUGUUGCAGUUAAAAAGCUCGUAGUUGAACUUCGGAAUUUGCCCAUUGGUCAGGCAGAACUGUCUGUACUGGUGUGACGAGUUCCUACCUUCUGAGGAAUCUUCAUGCCAUUCAGUUGGUGUGGGGGGAAAUCAGGACUGUUACUUUGAAAAAAUUAGAGUGUUUAAAGCAGGCAUCCGUCUGAAUACAUUAGCAUGGAAUAAUAAAAUAGGACGGUUUGGUUCUAUUUUGUUGGUUUCUAGGAUCACCGUAAUGAUUAAUAGGGAUAGUUGGGGGCAUUAGUAUUCAAUUGUCAGAGGUGAAAUUCUUGGAUUUAUUGAAGACUAACUACUGCGAAAGCAUUUUCCAAGGAUGUUUUCAUUAAUCAAGAACGAAAGUUAGGGGAUCGAAGACGAUCAGAUACCGUCGUAGUCUUAACCAUAAACUAUGCCGACUAGGGAUCGGACGAAGUUAAUUUUUAAAUGACUCGUUCGGCGCCUUACGGGAAAC
rnacentral:rRNA from 1 species